rnacentral:lncRNA from 1 species
UUAGAGAUGGGUAGACGUGAGAUGGGGUAGGUGACUUAAGAGGAUUCUGUUACCACACACUUUUUUCUUGAAACACAGUUUAGAUACGUUACUUGAGAAACGAGUUUUAAUACCGGGUGGGAAUCUUUUUAGUACAAUUUUUGCAACCGGUAAUAAGAGUUCGGUACUAAAAAUGCCAUCCAAAUUCAAUCUACUUGGUAUUAAAACUCACCUUUAGUUUACACUACUUGAGAAACGACUUUCCAUCUAGCACGUUAGUACCGGUCAAAUUUAGACCCAGUAAAGUUGCUUCCCCUCAGAGGUCCGGUUGAUGUUACCACCCAGUACAGAAGGAUCUUCCACAGAUUAUUUCAAAAGGAAAACAUAUCUUAUCCAAUCACAUAUGCUGCAAGGCUAGAUGUCUCCGGUUCGAAUUUCACGCACCACACACGCAUAUAUUUCACAUGAAAAAUUGUGUAACUUGUGACUUACGCGUGUGUCUUGAUGCUCAUUAUUGACACACUUUUAGUAUCAUUUGAAUAGUAUUUCCACGCAUAUUCUUAUACUAACU